GAUCAUGGCUCAGGAUGAACGCUAGCGGCAGGCUUAACACAUGCAAGUCGAGGGGCAGCAUGGUCUUAGCUUGCUAAGGCUGAUGGCGACCGGCGCACGGGUGAGUAACACGUAUCCAACCUGCCGUCUACUCUUGGCCAGCCUUCUGAAAGGAAGAUUAAUCCAGGAUGGGAUCAUGAGUUCACAUGUCCGCAUGAUUAAAGGUAUUUUCCGGUAGACGAUGGGGA
rnacentral:rRNA from 1 species